AACUCAAAAUGAUAUGCACCAGUAGUUCAGGAAUAAAUAAUUAAUCUCCUUCUUACAUCAUUACAUGGUAUUCUGAUGGGAAAGUCUUAGCAGGUUAUCAAGCACCAUGUAGGAGAUAUUUUUGUUCUAACUCUUUUGAAUAACCCAUCUUACUUCUUGCAAUCUUUUCUGCUUGACACAGCCUGCUGUUCAUCUUGCACCUCCAACAGUCUGCAGGUUAGUAAAUCCUAAUCUAAACAAUUUAGCUGAGUUCCUGGCCAAAAAAACCACUCCUCCCUCUUUUCCCUUGAGGUGCAGAACUCUGAUUCAGCUGUUUUCCUUUGACAGAUUUAAAGUUAUAAAAAAUUUAUUUUUGCUUUUAAACACAAAUCCUUUGCAACAGAUUGGACAUGAAGGGAUAACCUUCACAGCUAGGAGUAGCGUGUUUAUCAGCAGAAUUGCAAGGCAAUAUUCAGCUUGGGCAGGAAACCAAAAGUUUGAUCUUGGUUGUAUGGGUAAGCUUAAAACUUUUAAACCAAGGCAACUCCAGGAGAAGCUUGAAAUAUGCUCCAGUAUAGAAACGUGUCAAGAUUAUCUGAUAGUAAUGAUUCAGUACUUAUGCAUCAUGUAUUGAGCCACCUACCACCACAGGCCUCUCAUUGUCCUCGUUGCUUCUGUUCUGUCUGCAACGAUAAGAUUAGAUCAUGGAGCUGUUGCCUAAUGAUGCAGUUUAUAUGAUAGCUACAUCCAGCUUCCAGUCUGCUAAACAGCUUGCAAGAUCAUGGAACUCUCACAACUUUGAUUCUUCAAGCUUCUAAAACUGUGUGAACAGCAGGAAUCCAACAUCUAUCUGUUAGGCCAACAUCAGCAGUUCCAAGAAUCUAAAAACUGUUUCAAAUCAAGCUGCAGCUGAACUAUGUGAAAGUGUGAAUAUACCCAUUGUAACACCCUCUCACUCCCAGCUAAGGAUCCACAAAGGCUCCUAUCUCUGCUGAAGUACAUCUCAGGUUCAGUAAUCACUGCUAAACCAGCCGCCGUCUUCCAGAACCUCCUGGUUGACCCAGAGAAGUCCAGAGCAUGAGUUUAAUACACCAAUGAUGAUGUGGAGAAUCUGUCUAUCUAGAGCUUAUGAAUUCUAUUUGGUAUUGGGGACUCACUGUGCAUCUGGGUUAGACUACAAACUGCAUUUUGAUUGGAAGCCUGGUCUUUGCCAUCUUUGCUGUCUUUUGCCUCUAUAUUAAAACCCACAUGAGGAUAAGAGGAAAAAUUCUCUCACCUGGCUUAUAUAUUCCAUUUAAAUAGAACUUAUCUGGACAAAAAGAUAUCUACACCCUGAAGCCAACCAGCUUUUCAAGCCUGAACUCUAGGGGGAUGGUAACUAAGCAACAGAUCACCUGGAAGAAGAUUUUGAUCGUCUGAGGAAACUGAAGAGGGAGUCAUCUGACAAAGGGAGCUGGAGGUUAUAAAAAAAGGGUCUGUCACUACCCAAAAGAACUAAACUGCGGCCAGUACUGGUGCAACUAAACUGACAACAAAGGGAUGCUGAAGAAGUUCUCGCCUAAGAUGGACAAGGUCUCACUUUCACACAAGCAGACACACUAUUCUGGUUAUUCCAUUUUAUCUUAUGUCCCAACAAAUUAGUUAAAUCAAUCACAUCAUGAGUUUGUGGGAUGAAGAGAGAGAACUGACUGGAGCAAUUCACAGAGGAGAAUCAGCCAACCGUGUCUAACUAUUUCAGGACUUGGAAAUGAAGUUCAGAUGAAAAGACUUCGGUUCCAGCUGUUGUCCCUCUGUGGACCAUUUCAAAUCCCAGAAGAAAACAGCUUUACGAAAAUUCAUCUUAUGGGAGAAGUUGGAGAGAGAGAAAUACAAUAUUUUGUAUAAUAAAUUAUGAAUGGUGUGGAGAGAACAUAACAUAAAACCCAGGGGUCACCCAAUGAUAUUCAUAGAUAGCAGAUU